rnacentral:rRNA from 1 species
AUAGAGCUUCCCAUGGCGCCUGUUUAUCAAAAACAUGGUUAUUUGCUAUCAUAAAUAAUCUAACCUGCUCACUGCUAAGGUAAAGAGCCGCAGUAUUAUGACUGUGCUAAGGUAGCAUAAUCAUUUGUCUUCUAAAUGAAGUCUGGGAUGAAAGGUUGGAUCGAAGAAAGGUCUUUCUCUUUAUUAUAAAGUGAAUUUAAUUAAUUAGUAAAAAGGCUAGUAUGAGCCUGAAAGACGAUAAGACCCUAUUAAGCUUAAUUUAAUAAUUUUACUGGGGCGGUAGGAUAAGAAUAGAAUCUUAUUUAUAAAGAAAUUUUAUAUUGAGACCCAAUAUUGUUGUGGUGAAGAUAAAGCUACUAUAGGGAUAACAGCUUAAUUUUCUCUUGAAGAUCUUAUUUAGGAGGGAGUUUGAGACCUCGAUGUUGAAUUAAAGUAUCUUAUACACGCAGUAGUUUAUAGUGUGAGUCUGUUCGACUUUUAAAACUUUACGUGAUCUGAGUUCAGACCGGCCAUGGGAAGC